GAUAGGGCCUCGCUGCCUUGCCCGUCUGGCGCCAUAUUCACCCAUGUCUUUUUGCGUACUACUUGUUUCCUUGGCGGGUCCGCCCGCCAAUUGGACCUUAUUCAAACCUUUUUUUCAGUUGCAAUCAGCGUCAGCAAAACAAAUGUAAUCAAUUACAACUUUCAACAACGGAUCUCUUGGUUCUGGCAUCGAUGAAGAACGCAGCGAAAUGCGAUAAGUAGUGUGAAUUGCAGAAUUCAGUGAAUCAUCGAAUCUUUGAACGCACAUUGCGCCCUUUGGUAUUCCAAAGGGCAUGCCUGUUCGAGCGUCAUUUGUACCCUCAAGCUUUGCUUGGUGUUGGGCGUCUUGUCUCUCUCCCGAGACUCGCCUUAAAAUCAUUGGCAGCCGGCCUACUGGUUUCGGAGCGCAGCACAUUAUUUGCGCUCUUGUCCAGCCGCGGUCGCGCGUCCAUGAAGCUUCUUUCAACCUUUUGACCUC
rnacentral:rRNA from 1 species